rnacentral:rRNA from 1 species
AUGAACGCUGGCGGCGUGCCUAAUACAUGCAAGUCGAACGCAUAGCGAAAGGUGCUUGCACCUUUCAAGUGAGUGGCGAACGGGUGAGUAACACGUGGACAACCUGCCUCAAGGCUGGGGAUAACAUUUGGAAACAGACGCUAAUACCGAAUAAAACUUAGUGUCGCAUGACACAAAGUUAAAAGGCGCUUCGGCGUCACCUAGAGAUGGAUCCGCGGUGCAUUAGUUAGUUGGUGGGGUAAAGGCCUACCAAGACAAUGAUGCAUAGCCGAGUUGAGAGACUGAUCGGCCACAUUGGGACUGAGACACGGCCCAAACUCCUACGGGAGGCUGCAGUAGGGAAUCUUCCACAAUGGGCGAAAGCCUGAUGGAGCAACGCCGCGUGUGUGAUGAAGGCUUUCGGGUCGUAAAGCACUGUUGUAUGGGAAGAACAGCUAGAAUAGGAAAUGAUUUUAGUUUGACGGUACCAUACCAGAAAGGGACGGCUAAAUACGUG